rnacentral:rRNA from 1 species
AUUGAACGCUGGCGGCAGGCUUAACACAUGCAAGUCGAGCGGAGCGAGGGUGCUUGCACCUUAGCUUAGCGGCGGACGGGUGAGUAAUGCUUAGGAAUCUGCCUAUUAGUGGGGGACAACAUUCCGAAAGGGAUGCUAAUACCGCAUACGCCCUACGGGGGAAAGCAGGGGAGCUUCGGACCUUGCGCUAAUAGAUGAGCCGAAUGCGGAUUAGCUAGUUGGUGGGGUAAAGGCCUACCAAGGCGAUGAGCUGUAGCGGGUCUGAGAGGAGGAUCCGCCACACUGGGACUGAGACACGGCCCAGACUCCUACGGGAGGCAGCAGUGGGGAAUAUUGGACAAUGGGCGGAAGCCUGAUCCAGCCAUGCCGCGUGUGUGAAGAAGGCCUUUUGGUUGUAAAGCACUUUAAGCGAGGAGGAGGCUCUUAAGGUUAAUACCCUUGAUGAGUGGACGUUACUCGCAGAAUAAGCACCGGCUAACUCUGUGCCAGCAGCCGCCGUAAUAC